rnacentral:rRNA from 1 species
GGCCGUACGGCUGCUAUACAUGCAGUCGACGAACUUCCGUUAAUUGAUUAUGACGUACUUGUACUGAUUGAGAUUUUAACACGAAGUGAGUGGCGAACGGGUGAGUAACACGUGGGUAACCUGCCCAGAAGUAGGGGAUAACACCUGGAAACAGAUGCUAAUACCGUAUAACAGAGAAAACCGCAUGGUUUUCUUUUAAAAGAUGGCUCUGCUAUCACUUCUGGAUGGACCCGCGGCGUAUUAGCUAGUUGGUGAGGUAAAGGCUCACCAAGGCAGUGAUACGUAGCCGACCUGAGAGGGUAAUCGGCCACAUUGGGACUGAGACACGGCCCAGACUCCUACGGGAGGCAGCAGUAGGGAAUCUUCCACAAUGGACGCAAGUCUGAUGGAGCAACGCCGCGUGAGUGAAGAAGGGUUUCGGCUCGUAAAGCUCUGUUGUUAAAGAAGAACGUGGGUAAGAGUAACUGUUUACCCAGUGACGGUAUUUAACCAGAAAGCCACGGCUAACUACGUGCCAGCAGCCGCGGUAAUACGUAGGUGGCAAGCGUUAUCCGGAUUUAUUGGGCGUAAAGCGAGCGCAGGCGGUCUUUUAAGUCUAAUGUGAAAGCCUUCGGCUCAACCGAAGAAGUGCAUUGGAAACUGGGAGACUUGAGUGCAGAAGAGGACAGUGGAACUCCAUGUGUAGCGGUGAAAUGCGUAGAUAUAUGGAAGAACACCAGUGGCGAAGGCGGCUGUCUGGUCUGCAACUGACGCUGAGGCUCGAAAGCAUGGGUAGCGAACAGGAUUAGAUACCCUGGUAGUCCAUGCCGUAAACGAUGAUUACUAAGUGUUGGAGGGUUUCCGCCCUUCAGUGCUGCAGCUAACGCAUUAAGUAAUCCGCCUGGGGAGUACGACCGCAAGGUUGAAACUCAAAAGAAUUGACGGGGGCCCGCACAAGCGGUGGAGCAUGUGGUUUAAUUCGAAGCUACGCGAAGAACCUUACCAGGUCUUGACAUCUUCUGACAGUCUAAGAG